AUGAACAAAGCUAGUGGAGGAAUUCCAGUUGAGCUAUUUCAAAUCCUAAAAGAUGAUGCUGUGAAAGUGCUGCACUUAAUAUGCCAGAAAAUUUGGAAAACUCAGCAGUGGCCACAAGACUGGAAAAGGUCAGUUUUCAUUCCAGUCCCUAAGAAAGGCAAUGCCAAAGAAUGCUCAAACUACCAUAUGAUUGCACUCAUCUCACACACUAGCAAAGUAAUGCUCAAAAUUCUCCAAGCCAGGCUUCAACAAUAUGUGAACUGUGAAAUUCCAUAUGUUCAAGUUGGUUUUAGAAGUGGUAGAGGAACAAGAGAUCAAAUUGCCAACAUCCGCUGGAUCAUUGCAAAAGCAAGAGAGUUUCAGAAAAACAUCUAUUUCUGUGUUAUUGACUAUGCCAAAGACUUCAACUCUGUGGGUCACAACAAAAUAUGGAAAAUUCAAGAGGUGGGAAUACCAGACCACCUGACCUGCCUCUUGAGGAAUCUCUAUGCAGGUCAGGAAGCAACAGUUAGAACUGGACUGGAACAGUCUGGAACAAUAAACUGGUUCCAAAUAAGGAAAGGAGUAUGUCAAGGCUGUAUAUUGUCACCCUGCUUAUUUAAUUUAUAUGCAGAUUACAUCAUGAGAAAUGUUGGGCUGGAUGGAGCACAAGCUGGAAUCAAGAUUGCCGGGAGAAAUAUCAAUAACCUUAGAUAUGCAGAUGACACCACCCUUAUGGCAGAAAGUGAAGAAGAACCAAACAGCCUCUUGAUGAAGGUGAAAGAGGAGAGUGAAAAAGUUGGCUUAAAGCUCAACAUUCAGAAAACGAAGAUCAUGGCAUCCGGUCCCAUCACUUCAUGGCAAAUGGAUGGAGAAACAGUGGAAACAUUGACAGACUUUAUUUUGGGGGCUCCAAGUGACUGUAGCCAUGAAAGUAAAAGAUGCUUACUCUUUGGAAGGAAAGUUAUGACCAACCUAGACAGAUUAUUAAAAAGCAGAGUCAUUACUUUGCCAACAACAGUCCAUCUUGUCAAAGCUAUGGUUUUUCCAGUAGUCACAUAUGGAUGUGAGAGUUGGACUAUAAAGAAAGCUGAGUGCCAAAGAAUUUAUGUUUUUGAACUGUGGUAUUGGAGAAGACUCUUGAGAGUCUCUGGGACUGCAAGGAGAUACAACCAGUCCAUCCUAAAGGAAAUUAGUCCUGGGUGUUCUCUGGAAGGACUGAUGUUGAAGUUGAAACUCCAAUAUUUGGCCACCUGA
rnacentral:lncRNA from 1 species